GAGGAUAUAGCUCGGUGUCAGAGUGAGUGCUUAGCAUGCACAAUGUCCUGGGUUCAAUCCCCGGUACCUCCU
rnacentral:tRNA from 1 species